rnacentral:lncRNA from 1 species
GUCACAUCCAUGGCAUAUGGAGGUUCCCAGGCUAGGGGCCAAAUCAGAGCUGUAGCUGCUGACCUAUUCCACAGCCACAGCAACACCAUAUCCUUAACCCACUGAGCAAGGCCAGGGAUCACACCUGCAUCCUCAUGGAUAUUAGUUGGAUUAGUUACACUGAACCAAAUGGGAACUCUCAUGCCCAGUAUUUUAAAUCAUAUUCUUUGCUCUGACUUUGGUCAAGGCCCUUCCCCUCCUUGCUCUCUCUAGUCUUACCAACCUUAUUUCCCUCCACUCCCAUCACACAUCUUCUUCUGUGGUCAGAUGUUUCUACUGUCUUUCUUCAUUUGAAUUCUCUCUUUUGUUCCCCUCUACCUCUUCCUUUCUUCUUUUCUCCCUUCUUUCAUCAACAAAUAAUUUCUGAAUGCCCACUACAUGCUAGUCUCUGGACAUAGAACUGAACAAACUAAGACACAAUUCCUGCCCCAGGGAGUUUAUAGUUUAGGUUAAAAUUUCCCGUAACAGAUUAUGUUCCCCAUAACAGAUUAUGCUCUUUUAUGCCUCUGAGUUUUGUUUUAGUUUGUUUUCAUCCAGCCAUCUACACCAUGCUCAUCAUCUAAGGCCUAACUUGUGUUUGACUUCUCCUUCAGGCACAUUCUCUGAACAUGUCAAUGCACUUCUAGUCCUAAAGGCCUUUAGUGCACAGUUGUCACUGCAUAGUUUAGCUUCUGUUUUUUCUCAUGAUAUGCUAAUGGUGUUAUAGUCUUUUUUUUAAAAUUUGAAUUUAAUUAAUUUAUAUUAUUAUUUUUUCUUUUUAGGGCUACACAUGCAGCAUAUGGAAGUUCCCAGGCUAGGGGUCAAAAUCGGAGCUGCAGUCGUCAGUCUAUGCCACAGUCACAGUAACACUGGAUCUGAGCUGUGUCUGUGAUGUACACCACAGCUCAUGGCAAUGCUGGAUCCUUAACCCACUGAGCGAAAGCCAGGAAUUGAACCACUAGUGGGAUACUAGUUGGGUUAAAAACCCACUGAGCCACAAUGGGUACUCCCUUUUACAUUCUUGAGAACAAGAAAUAUGUCUUAUCUGUAUACUGAUGUCCAUAUACAUACAUAGGCUGUAUAUGGACCUCUGCUCCUCUCUCUGUGAGUAUAAAACCCUUGACACCCCAAACUUUCAAAAUUCCCAAAUUUAUAAAAGUAGACUUGUUUUAAAUAAGGCUCCUGACCUUUUCCAGAUUUGUAUUUUUAUCCAGAGCUAAGAGUAAUCUUUGGGUACUCUCAUACACAAUCAAAAAGCUUUUCAAUGUUCACUGAAGGUAUCUCUAACCCAUAGGGCCAUUUUCCACGUGUUAACAAAAUUCUGCAGCUUCAGGUUCAUUGCCACAGGCUCAAAUAAAGGAGCGAAUGACAGAGGAGGCAGAACUGAGUGGAUAACUGCUGGAGUUUCAGAGUAAGACAGAAAUGGGUUCAAAUCCCUGAUCAGGGAGCCUGUGUUCUCUCCACUCACAUUAAGUCUGGUACCUCAGUCAUACCACCUAGCUUUGUGGUCUCAAUUGCGUUUUCUAGCUCUGUGGUCCUCAAUCAUCUUGAGUAAAUUUCUUAAAUUCUUCUAAUCUCAGUUUUCUCAUUUAUAAAAUGGGGAUCAUGCUUAAAUGAGCUAAUGUCUAGAAAGUCCCUGGUACAGUACCUGAGAUGUGGUCAAUUAAGAAAAGAACACUAAUGCUAUAUUUUUUAGGAUCACUAGCUAAGCUAACUAAGUGUCUCCCAAUCACCAGUAUCAUGGGGUUUAAUAUUCAAAUUUGAGACUUAGCAAAAUACAAAUUGCCAAUGGCCAUGCAUCUCCUAGACUGCUGUGAACACAAAGUCUAUGAGUGCUAGAAGCUUAGUGAGCAUUUGAGAUCCAACACCAAGCUUAGUGGCCUGGUGUUGGAUCUCCAGAGAGGCUGAGCAUCUGAUUUACUGAUUGAUGGUGGAGGAUGGUUAGGUGGGGAGGGUUAGAGUAGAGAGGACAGACAGACAGCUCAGGGCCCGCCGAGCCACCUGCAUCUACUUUCCAAGUUCAUCCUGGAUUGGAGCAUAACUUGAUCGGCUCUGUGAGGAAGCAGCACAUGGCUUCUCGAAAGAUUUUAUGAAUGGGGAUGAGAAAUGGAGGCAAGCCAAAGAUAGCAGCUGGGCUAUUCUCUCUGACCAAGCAAGAUUAAAAAACAUCUUUUAUGGAAUAGGUUUUGGGUUUAUGUGACAUUCUGUUCUCUGGGGACAGUCUCACUUCCACCUCUGGCCCUUACUCUCCUUUGUAAGCCCUGGGAGACAGGCCUGUCCCAGGCACAGCCCCUAAGGGUGCGGGCAGAGCAAAAGUCUGCUCCUCCCCAACCCCUACCAGGAGAUUCAGGCCCCACCCAGCAGGACCCAAGGCAGACAGAGUUAAGGUGUGUGCCUGCGGCUUGGUCAUUGGCUCCAGGAUCUGAACAAAGCCCCAGCAGUGACAGCGGUCACAGGAAACCAGAUUCUGCCAAGAGCCAGUUACAGGGCUACUGUAUAUACCCAUAUGCCAUAAAUCUGUGGAAGGAUGAAGGAGGCUGCAUGUGGCCGCACAGAAGCACAUCUCUGAGCAUCAGAAUCGCUAUCAGCCAGGGGAAGGCCUGGAGUGAGGGCGGCACAGGCUGGGUACCUGUGAUGCAGGUUGAAGAAAAGAAAAGGAAGACCAGAAUUAGGGAAGCUACCCUGCAAUGAGGACUUAUUGCUUGUUUGUUUGUUUUUGUUUAAACCCUCAGCACCCAGUUUGUUCUCACUUAUUAUCUUUUGCUUUUAGAGACCCCCUCAACACCCCUCCAAUACCUUGAGAAUAGAUUUGUGUGGUAAAGUCCAAACAUCAAUUUUCAUGCGCUCUCUUCUUUCCUUACUAAUAUAUCCCAUGGAAUACCCAUAAGUUUGUCACUUUUCUUCUCAGCCGAGGGCUGGCCUGUGCACAUGUCCAGCAGGGGGUUGGCAGAGGGGGCCUGCGGAGUGGAGGCUGGGCUUGGGCGGCUGCCGCGUUCCGACCUCUCCCCACUAGCCAGAUGCCUCCUCACAGCUUUGCACAUAGAUGCCUUUGAAGCAGAAAAGAAAUCCCACCCUUCCUUUGAGGCCCCUUUUGUAAUAUUACUUUCCUCUGCUGGUUGGAUUAGUUAAAAUUUCAUCAGAUUCUCUUAAGAAAAAAAUUUCCCUGUUGUCACAUCAUGAAAAGAGAGGAUAUUCUUGAAGAUGUUUGCCACCCUCAAGAAAUAAGAGAGAAUCUGAUCUGCUCUGAUUUGGGGAACUUAAUAUCUCUUGCAAGCUAAAGCUGCUCAGAUGAAAUGUUUUGAAGCAAGAAAAAAGAAAAGGCACGCGCGUGUGUGUGUGUGUGUGUGUCUGUGUGUGUGUGUGUGUAUGCUUUGUGGUUUUAUUAAAAGGAAAAAAAUAAGACCCCUUCUCCUACACCCACUAGUCCAGUGUUCUGUGUUUUCUGGGGCACAAGAGUGGGCAGGUUUACAGACUCUGGCAAAAAAUACACAUUUCAAUAACUAGCUCAAAACAAUAUCAGCCAGAAUGAGAUUAUGAGACCAGAACAGUAGGGGGCAGUCUGACACAAUAGAAAAAAGGUUGCUAGGCUAAUAAAACAUCAGAGACAAGGCUCUUUGAGACAACAAAGACAAAAAUUGUGCUAAGAGCUGUAAAUCUUGCAUGCUAAAUUCCCAUGCAAGAGACAGUCGUGGUUGUAUCAUAAUUAAACAUGCUACUAAAACAUAAAUCCCUUACUGAUAACUUCCUCUUAGUAGCCUCAUUUCCCAUGGAGUGAACCAGACGCUGGUCACCCAUUAACAUUAAUUGGAAGGAUUUCUGGUGUCUUCAGCACAGAAUAGAUAUUGGAAACAACAAAAGAAAAUCACUGUCUCUGUCUUUGCAUGGAGUUCCUGCUGUGCCUCUGUCUUUACAUGACUGUUUUCUCCUCCACCUCCUCCUCUUCCUCCCUUUUUCCCUCCCUGUCCUCCUUCUUUCUGGUUGCACUUGCAGCAUUUGGAUGUUUCCGAGCCAGGUGUCAAAUUGGAGCUGCAGCUGGGGUCUAUGCCACAGCCACAGCAACACCAGAUCCGAGUUGCAUCUGUGACUUACACCACAGCUUGCGGCAAUGCUGGAUCCUUAACCCGCUGAGCAAGACCAGAGGUGGAACCUGUAACUUCACAGAGACAGUGUCGGGGUCCUUAACCUACUGAGCCACAAUGGGAACUCCUACAUGGCUGUCUUAUAAGGACACCAGAUAUAUUCGAUUAGGGGCCCACUCUACUCCAAUAUGUCCUCAUCUUAACUAAUUAUAUACGCAAGGACGCUACUGCCAAAUAAGGUCACACUGUAAAGUACUGGGGAUCAAACUGUGUCUACCUUUGUGGAGGGACUCAAUUGAGUCCCAAAACAAGUAUUUAGAAACUUUCCCUCUGUAUUUCUUAUCUAUUGCUGCAUGACAGGUUACCCCAAGCCUAAUCAAAACUCCUCCAGGGGAAGAUUCACUGCCAAGUUCAUGCAUAUGGCUAUUAGAAUGCCUCCAGUCUUUACUGGCUAUUGGCUGGAGAGGUCAGUCCUUGUCAUGUGGGCCCCUCCAGAGGGCUCAUCCCAGUUUGGCAGCUGGCUACCCCUAGUGAGGACCCUGAGGGA